rnacentral:rRNA from 1 species
CCAGCAUGCGCGUGUGGGAUGAAGGCCCUCGGGUUGUAAACCACUUUUGGCAGGAAAGAAAUCGCCUGUGCUAAUACCAUGGGCGGAUGACGGUACCUGCAGAAUAAGCACCGGCUAACUACGUGCCAGCAGCCGCGGUAAUACGUAGGGUGCGAGCGUUAAUCGGAAUUACUGGGCGUAAAGCGUGCGCAGGCGGUUUUGUAAGACAGAUGUGAAAUCCCCGGGCUUAACCUGGGAACUGCAUUUGUGACUGCAAGACUAGAGUGUGUCAGAGGGAGGUGGAAUUCCGCGUGUAGCAGUGAAAUGCGUAGAGAUGCGGAAGAACACCGAUGGCGAAGGCAGCCUCCUGGGAUAACACUGACGCUCAGGCACGAAAGCGUGGGGAGCAAACAGGAUUAGAUACCCUGGUAGUCCACGCCCUAAACGAUGUCAACUGGUUGUUGGACGGCUUGCUGUUCAGUAACGAAGCUAACGCGUGAAGUUGACCGCCUGGGGAGUACGGNCGCAAGGUUGAAAACUCAAAGGAAUUGACGGGGAACCGCACAAGCGGUGGAUGAUGUGGAUUAAUUCCGAUGCCACGGCGAAAAAACUUAACUUAACCUUGGACAUGUACGGAAACCU